UUGACCAGACCAGAGCAGACCAUUAAUACCCUACAACCCUAAAUAAUCAAAUUAUUUCUCUUAAUAGAGUAGUAAUUGCUUCGGAAUCUCCGAAUCUUGUUUGAGUCCUCCUGAAAAACUUCAUAUUUUCACUCUCUUCUCCGUUUCUCUGCAAUCUUACAGGUUGUCAGAGUUGUCAAAGACUGAGGUUAAUAGCCUUAAGGCUCGCCCUCGUAUUGAUUUCUCUUCCACUUUUAGUACAGUAAGGUUCACUUUGUGAGUUGACAAUUUAACUAAUCACCUGCUUGAUUUGUGGGGAUUGUACUGGAAUAGGUCCAACAUACUGUUAAUGAUGUGCGUAAUUGCUGUUUCUUUGAUUCUUACACUGUGUGCUUCUCGGUCAUUCAUGAAGCCUUUUUUUCUUUUCUAUGCUGGAAUUCAGCGUAUGCUCUAUCACGAUUUGAUCUAGCUGUUUCUUCAUUUUGUAGUUAUACUACGAGGUUUGACAAAGUUUCCCUGGACAAAAUCAUUAAAUGAGUUGCUGAUCUUCCUUAUACCCGGCUUAUCCAGCUGUUAAAGAGGCAUCUGAUGUUGCCUAUGCCCUAUAUGUACCCUGGUGAAAAUUGAGAACAUGAAAAUGGGUUGAUAUUUUGUUCGUUCUGCACCAGCCUGCACAUGCAAGAUUCUUGUCCUGGAAAAUAUGGCAGCAUCUGCAAGGAGGUGCUUUAUUGUGGCAAGUAGGCUGGUGUGACUCAUAGUCUUAAAGCCGGGGUAGCGCAGGCCAUUUCAGCAAUGGCGUGUGGGACUUCAUCUUGUCCGAGGGUUCUAAUGUUCUCCAACACUUUCAUUAGUUUUAUAGAAAUUCAGCUUAGUUAAAAGUUCGAUGUGGCAAAUUCUUUAGGACCUGGAAAUCAGUAAGUCGCAGCUGCAAAAAUGAUUUUCCAGAACAGUGAAGUGAUGGUUUCGAUAGACAUACCUGCUGGCCCAUCUGAAGUUCUGGUUAUUGCUGAUAAACAUCCAACCCGGUUCAUAUAAGAGCUGAUUUACUGUCUCAGAUAUGGAUUCAUAUAGGAGAUGAUUUACUGUCUCAGUCAUUUGCGUAAGUCAUGGUCCUGACAGUCAGGUUGUGCUUGUAAUUGGCGGAGAUGGUGUGGAUAUGGAGGCCACCAAGAAGGAAUCAGCUCGCAGUGAGAUUAUGCAAGUUGGCUCACUUGUGCUGGAGACACUCUUGUGUAACCAAGUCUAUGGAAGCUAGUCCAGUGGAUUGGCUGUUGCAUCCAGACAAAAAAGAUGCAAAAAUGCCAACGGCAAUCCAUGGGUGCUGAGAUUAGACCGUGUAUGGGAGCAACAGUUUGGUUAGCCUCAACUCGGUGAGGGCCCCAGGGACUACGGUGCUAGCUUCUCAGACCCAAGUUGCCAACUCUUGCCAUUGGCGUUCUGUACUCCGGCACAAAUUCUUUAUAAACUUAUUCACCAUAUUUAGCUUCCACGAUGUGGGAUUAUUUUACGGUAUUAAA